rnacentral:rRNA from 1 species
AGAGUUUGAUCCUGGCUCAGGACGAACGCUGGCGGCGUGCCUAAUACAUGCAAGUCGUGCGAACCGCUUCGGUGGUGAGCGGCGAACGGGUGAGUAACACGUAGGUCAUCUGCCCACAAGACGGGGAUAACGUUUGGAAACGGACGCUAAUACCGGAUAGGAAGAAAUUUUAAAGGAGCUUUAGGGCUUCGCUUGUGGAU